CUAUUCCAGCAGAAGAAUCUUCAACUAGAACUCAGACAACACGAGCCAAUUUGGGGAACUGGGAAAUUAGAGAAAGAUUGAAGCACCAAGUCAAUUUCCUAUUGUUAAAGGAAUAUGAUUGGCAUUUUAAAAUGCCACUUAGGGAAUCCUAAAGGUAUAUGCUCUUGAAAGAGUCCAGUGAGAAGCAUAUGAAGACAAGACGAUGCCACCAAAAGGGCCAAAUAGAGAGUAGUUUGGUUGCUGAUAUUGAGCUCUUGCAAUAAUUUAGCAGCCUGAACUACAAGAGAAUACUGGAAGGAGUGUUCUGGCAAAGACAAACUCCCAUGGUACUUGCCUUUCAAGUAACAUGACAGUUACGUACAUCUCAUACCAACCAUUGACGAUCAAUAGCCAAGUCGUGGGUGAUAAACUCUCGAUUGCCAUUAAUCAACCAAUGGACAAUACCACACUGCCUAAAUUAAGAAUGUAUAAAUGCUAACAUCCGGCAACCAAACAUCCCAAAGAUAUCUCUUCAAUUUUCACUCAUCAAAUUAAGAUGUAACUCGCUUGUCAUCAGCUUAUAUGAUUUACUAAACAAAGGUACAAAUAUUCAUACUUACAAUGUUCUGGAUGCUCAAUGUUCUGGAUGCAUGUUGAGAAGAACGAAAAAAGUCCAUCUUCGAUGCGUUGAUGCGUGUGUAGGAAAAGUGGAGCUAGAUUGUAAUUAUAAUAAUUUUGAAAUAAAUUGGAUCUUAAGUCAUAAUAAAUCAUGGGUCUCAAGAACUGCUUAAAAAGUACCGUUUAAAGAAGAAAGAUAAUUGAUCUCAAAAAUUGCAGACUCAUUUCAGACUGGUUGUCUAGCAAAGCUUAAAAUGAAUAUUUUUUCAUCUUGAGCAAAACAUUUUUGAAAACUCAACCAGUAUAAAUAAAAAUAGAUAUUUCAUGCAUGUCUAUACCAAAAAGUAUAAAAAUUACAGCAUCUACAGUAAAACUCAAUUAUCCCAUAAAUUCUUCAUGGUUCUCAAAACUUAACAGAUAAAGGAUGAACAAAACAAUACUUCUACAACUUCAAUAUGCAAUAAUCAUGCUACAUGCAUGCAAAUGUUCACUGACCAUUAUACAUGUAAAAAUGUAGAAACAAUUAAGGAACCAACUUCAUUAACUAAUGCGUCUUAAUUUCCACAUAAAACUAUCUGUUCCAAUCACAAAUGAUACUUAUGAAAGGUACUGAUGAAAAGCUCAGCAAUUAUCUUAUUCAACUAGUAGGAUUCAUGUAAACAGGAAACCCACGGAGAGAUUUGAUUGCCCAAGUCUCAGAAAAUAUAAAGAGUCACUAGCUUGCAUCAAGUACAUUCAUAACUCAUAACAAUAAUCAAGUAAUGGUUGUCAAAACGAAAUUAAGAACUCUCCAACUGCUUUGUCAACACAUAACCUUUUGACCAAACAAUUGGAAUCUCAAAUAUAGCAACAGAUUAAGAGCACUUCUUUGCAGCAAUAUCCUUAACUAAAAUUAACUAUGUGGAAUAAAUGAACAGAGAUUCAUGCAAAAUAGGCAUAGAUCUAGAAAGGCAUGUAGGUAAGUUCUUAAACUUGGAGAGGAAAAUCCAAGUUGCACAAAAAACUAAACCAUAUUUAGCCAUUGUUAACAGUCAAAAAAACUCGAAGUUUGGAAACCAAUUGCAACAUGCAUAGUUAUUCAAAAGCAAAAACAAAACAAAAAAAAAAUUGAUAAGCUACUUUCUUUAUUAAGCUUUGAUAUUGUUAGGAUCAUAAAAACCCCUGAAAGAUCAUGCACAACUUUCAACACAAUUCAUGGAUCUCAAAGCAAUUUUAAAAAAGCUGACAUGUGCCAGUUUUAUUGAAAAAGUCCAAUCAUAUAUCAUAUGAGCUCAAAAUAACACGAAAACACUGCGACAAGGACCAGUACUUCACAGGACAUUCAACAAAUUUGAUAUCCCCAAUUGAAAUGAAUGCCGGCACCUUGAACACAUUAAACAAGUCAGUUCAACUAAAUUGAUGCAACCUAAGUUCUUAAAUCAAGGAGUAGAAUAUUAGGCAUGCAAAUAAAACACUUCAUUUCAAUAUCACAUAAACAAUCAACAAAUGAUGGAAACUUAGUAGGAAACAAAUGUGAAAAACUGGUUAGGAAUUCACGCAAGAGAAAAUGAAAAAAAAAAACAAAAUACAUAAAUUAAAAUAACCACAGAACAACCACGAUUGGUUACCUCACAUGCAAAUCAAAAACUAGGGAAAGUUACUAAAAGUAAAGGACAAAUCAAUAACCCAUAACUAAAAUUAUGAUCUAGCACAGGUCGACGCUCCUCUGACAAAUACCAACAAAUAGGGUACAACACCACCUUACAACUAUCAAUGUUUAGAGAAGAAAGAAAUUGGUGGAAGAAAAACCGUGAAAGGACGAAGUAGAAAGAAGACCUAGAGGAAGAAAUAGGAAUUAGGGAGAAGACAACUAGCAAGCUAAGAAGAAACCCAAGUUUUAACUCUAUUUUUUUCAUUUCACCAACAACCUUCCACAAUAGAGAUUCAGCCACUAUAUAUAGGAGGAGAAGGAGAAGAAGGGGAAAAGCAUUAAUUGGAUCACAUAAAUGUGCCUCCAAAACAACUAAUAAAAACCACUCAAGUCAGCCCUCACAAGAAGAAGCCAAAGCAUCCUCCACAGGAAUCAACAAGGAGAAAAACCGAGCAACUAGCAUCAGGGAAACCUAGUGAGCAGCCACAGGGAAAACUAAGCAGUGGCA